rnacentral:rRNA from 1 species
CAGCCGCCGCGGUAAAACAGAGGGUGCGAGCGUUAAUCGGAUUUACUGGGCGUAAAGCGUGCGUAGGCGGCUUCUUAAGUCGGAUGUGAAAUCCCUGAGCUUAACUUAGGAAUUGCAUUCGAUACUGGGAAGCUAGAGUAUGGGAGAGGAUGCUAGAAUUCCAGGUGUAGCGGUGAAAUGCGUAGAGAUCUGGAGGAAUACCGAUGGCGAAGGCAGCCAUCUGGCCUAAUACUGACGCUGAGGUACGAAAGCAUGGGGAGCAAACAGGAUUAGAUACCCGAGUAGUCCCUGUCUCUUAUAC